CCUACGGGGGGCAGCAGUGGGGAAUAUUGGACAAUGGGGGGAACCCUGAUCCAGCCAUGCCGCGUGUGUGAAGAAGGCCCUCGGGUUGUAAAGCACUUUCAGUGAGGAAGAACGCCUGGUGGUUAAUACCCAUCAGGAAAGACAUCACUCACAGAAGAAGCACCGGCUAACUCCGUGCCAGCAGCCGCGGUAAUACGGAGGGUGCGAGCGUUAAUCGGAAUUACUGGGCGUAAAGCGCGCGUAGGUGGCUUGAUAAGCCGGUUGUGAAAGCCCCGGGCUCAACCUGGGAACGGCAUCCGGAACUGUCAAGCUAGAGUGCAGGAGAGGAAGGUAGAAUUCCCGGUGUAGCGGUGAAAUGCGUAGAGAUCGGGAGGAAUACCAGUGGCGAAGGCGGCCUUCUGGACUGACACUGACACUGAGGUGCGAAAGCGUGGGUAGCAAACAGGAUUAGAUACCAUGGUAGUC
rnacentral:rRNA from 1 species